CAAACUGCUCUUACCUGGGUCGUCACAAUGGCACAAGGAGGGUUGCCCUGUAAUAGGUGAUCGCUCGUUCUGCGUGUAAAACAGGCGUGCAGUUGUAUUUUAUUUAGCCGACACAAGGACUUCGCCCUCGUUUUGAAGAUCAGAAGAGGAAACAUGUUACUGUCUUGUUUUCUUUCAACUAGUCUGGUCCGUGUGGUUGUUUUGACUCUUUUACCAAUUGCUGUAGCACGGUGAGAUGGAUUUAUUUCUGAUGGAUGUUACGCUUUUGGUUGAGUUAUUAAACAUUUUUCAGUUUGUAAUCUAAAAAGUAAAAAAGUAGAUAUUGUAUAUGCAAACACCUACAGUUAUUUUGACUUUUUGACGUGGAUUUAUUUGAUUUUUUUAAAAAUUAAAUGUAAUCUUACCUGGAUUAGAAAACGGUUCUGUGGUAAUUUCAGUAAUAUAAUUAUAGUGUAAAAGCGUUGGCUCCUUUGUUUCUGAGCUAGUGUACAGCUUUAUCACUUUAACAACAUCAUGUUGACUUGUAUAAAGUGUAUUUCAUUAAACAGCAGAGAACUGAGGAGAUCAUGAGUGGUCAUUGGAUUUAGUUUCUCCCUUUUUUCUAUUGGAAGUCUUGUCAAUGCGUGUUCGUUUUGAGUUCACCUGAGAAAGAAGAGUGUCUUUUUCCCUCCUCAGUAUUAUAUUUCAGGAUCGAGUGCUUGCCAUUUCUAUUCUCCGUUGGACUUCCUUUGGAUAACAGUUCACACCGAAUUCUCUACAUACCCGAUGCACUGCAAAGUUAUCGCGUUUAUUUAUUUUUUUCUGUGUGGAUUUUUAAUAGGCUGGAAAUGACAACUGGAAAGGUGCGGUGCCUUCACGAUUUGAUAUGAAUGCGGACGUCCGGGGGUCGAAUCGAUGUUCCUCAGUGACUUUAUUGGACAAAACAGAACAAUGUUCCUCAAUUCAGGAAUUGAAUAUGUUAUCCUAUGGUUAUUGAUUUCGUAUUGAGGAGUAAAAGGGCGAUUGUCUGUAGUCGAAACACCACCGCCGCGUCGACUUGGCUGUUUUAUUCUUUAUCAAAAAAACGAUACGUCAAUAAAAGUUUAAGAAUCGAAUGCUGAUAAUUGGUUGACGGCGUCUGUUGGGAUGAAUCACAAACGCUAUUUGAUUUGUGUCUGAAGAAAAAUAACGUUCGAAGAACCGAUGGGGAUAUACAGUUUGUGUACAGAAGGAGAUAAACUCAAGGUAGCGUUUACCUUCAUAAAUUAAUGUUUACCACUCAUCUCUAAGGAGAGCUGAAGGAGUUCAUACCCUCUUGCAGUCGCUAUACAGAACAAAACGGCUCUGCCGUGUAAUAUGGGAGCAUCUACUACUGGGAAUAUAUAUUAAAUGGCGAUACCAGCAUUAAUGAAAAUAAUAUAAAUGCUGAAAGGUUAAGGGAUACACCAACUGUGAUCUCGUUACUAGUCAUAGUAUCCACAUUUACGGGUAGUGGCCAGUGAAUAAUCUUCAACACACUUUACAACACGAUUCUUUUGAGAAAGAUAGGCGGUAUCAAAAAAAAAAAGGAAGACAGUUCUAAAAAGCGAGCAUCUUCUCCUAUGCAACCUACACAUGUACAAUGCACCCCUGCCUUGCGCUGCCUUCUGUUGCGAGAGGUGAGCGCCAGCGCGUGAUUCUUGCAUUUCCUCUACCUUCUCUGUCGCUCUUGCCAAAGGCAAGGCGGCGUUCUGAUGUGCUCAGGGGUAGUCGCCCUGCAUCAGACUGACUGACAAUCCACUCGAAGAACUCGUAAUAAUAUUAUCAGAGUGGAAUCCAUCAGGAGAGAGAGAGAGAGAGAGAGAGAGAGAGAGAGAGAGAGAGAGAGAGAGAGAGAGAGAGAGAGAGAGAGAGAGAGAGAGAGAGAGAGAGAGAGAGAGAGAGAGAGAGAGAGAGAGAGAGAGAGAGAGAGAAGCGGAAAGAGGGAGGGGAAAAUAGCAACCUGCUCCUCUCCGUGAGACGAGUCGCUAAGAAAUGCAACCACGUUCUUUAAAUGCACCUCUUCUGCAAAGCAGUUGACCAAAUGCAGCUGGAGCAGAGAUUUCCAAGCAAAGGAAAAUCACAGCAAAUGAAACAAGCGUCAUUCAUACCUGACACUUUCCUAUUGUUGACUUUGGACACCAGUAUCUCUGCAAACCACUCAAUCUCAUCUGAUCAGAAACAACUCCUGAACUGAAAGUGGCAAAAACCUGUUGUACAAUUAACAAUUAUCAUGGCAUUCUAAUGAAGAACCCCAGUCAAUGCAUCCUUUAAAAAGACCCAUGGAGAACACCUCACACUGCAAGAUUUGCGCCUAGCUCCCCACAGAGUGAACACUAAACCCCACCCAAACCAUCGCCACAUCACCCCGACCCACAGUCUGUAUGUAGCUGCCUGGACUCCAACCCCACUCGCCAGCCUCGGAGACUCAGCAAACAGAUAGAGUUUCACAGACUGGCUGUACCAUGGAGAGGCUGAUCCUGUACCUGCUGAUGCUCAGCAUAUCAGUGAAGGCGCAGGUGUGCCCCAAGCGGUGCAUGUGCCAGAACCUUUCCCCCUCCCUCGCCAUCCUCUGUGCCCGGACUGGGCUUCUCUUCGUGCCCACAGUCAUCGACAGACGGACAGUAGAGCUGAGACUCACCGACAACUUCAUAACGGUGAUCCGGAGGAAAGACUUUGCCAAUAUGACUAGCCUGCUGCACUUGACACUCUCCAGGAAUACCAUUAGCCUGAUUAUGCCUUAUACCUUCUCCGACCUAAAAGGGCUUCGGGCUCUCCACUUGGACAGCAACCGGAUAACCGUUGUUGGAGAUGACCACUUCCGAGGACUGACCAAUUUGAGGCACCUGAUCCUCAGCAACAACCAGCUGGUUGACAUCUCGCCCAAUGCCUUUGAUGAUUUCCUAGGUACUUUAGAAGACCUGGACCUUUCCUACAACAAUCUGGUCCACAUCCCUUGGGAAACCAUCGGGAGGCUUAACAAUGUCAAUACCCUAAACAUGGACCACAAUUUGAUAGACUAUGUGCCCGAGGGGAUCUUCGCCAACUUGCACAAGCUUGCCCGGUUGGAUAUGACCUCCAACAAACUAAAAAAAAUCCCUCCAGAUCCUCUCUUCCUGAGGAUCCCUGUCUAUGCCAAAUCUAAAGGUUCUCCUUUUACAUCUUUGGUUCUCAGUUUCGGUGGGAACCCACUGCACUGUAACUGUGAACUCCUCUGGCUCCGAAGACUAACUAGGGAGGACGAUUUGGAGACGUGUGCGUCCCCUCCUGAUCUGAUGGCUAAAUACUUCUGGACCAUCCCCGAAGAGGAGUUCAUUUGUGACCCUCCGGUGAUCACAAGGAAAUCCCCCAAAACCUUUGUCAUGGAAGGGCAGGCUAUCAGCCUGAAGUGCAAAGCCAACGGAGACCCCGAUCCCUCCAUCCACUGGGUGUCCCCUGAAGGUAAACUCAUUUCCAAUACCUCCAGGACGGUUUCCUAUGAUAACGGGAGUUUGGAUAUCAAUAUCGCCACUGUGAAGGACACUGGAGUUUUCACCUGCAUCGCUUCCAAUGCUGCUGGGGAAUCAACAGCCCCUGUGGAGCUAGUUGUGAACCCUCUUCCUCAUCUCGCCAAUAGUACUAGCCGGGUUCGGGAGACAGAACCAGGGCCUUCGGAUAUUCUCACCUCGGCCAAGUCCACCUCCACCUCCAGCAAUGACACCAAGAUUCAGCAGGACCGGAAGGUAGUGCUGGUGGAACUUACCACCAACUCAGCACUCAUAAAAUGGCCCUCACAGCGCCAGGUCCCAGGGAUAAGGAUGUACCAGGUUCAGUACAACAGCUCCACGGACGACGCCCUUGUAUACAGAAUGAUCCCUUCUACGAGCAAAGACUUCCUAGUGAAGGACCUCAUCUCGGGACGAGAGUACGAAUUGUGUGUGUUGGCAGUCUACGACGACGGGAUAACGACACUGACAGCCACGCGAGUCGUGGGCUGCCUGCAGUUCACCACAGAACAGGAAUACAGCCAUUGCCAGUCCAUACACACUCAGUUUCUUGGUGGGACCAUGAUCAUCAUCAUUGGAGGCAUCAUAGUGGCUUCCGUCUUGGUCUUCAUCAUCAUCCUGAUGAUCCGAUACAAGGUGUACAACAACAAUGGGGAACCCACAAAGGCUGGAGUCAAUAACGUCUGCUCCCAGACCAACGGAGGCCAAGCAGGGCAGGUCACCAGGUCUACCUCCAAAGGGACAGAGAGCCAGGACGAGCAAGUCCAAGCCUCCUCUGGAAAUGUCAGUGGGGGAGUUGGAGGAUGUGUCAGCGGUUCCACAGUGCGGGACUCAAAUACCGUGGCCCUGGUAGUGGAAUGCGAAAAGGUCACCCAAAUCUCAGAAAUGACCGCCGAGGACAUAAUAGUGCCUGCACAGAGACGCAAAUCGAGGACUAGUGCAGAGCUAAUUCGCCAUACCUCUUUGUCUUCAAAGGAAGUGAGGGGUACCAGUGAAGGAUCAGGAGAUCCCCAGACGGCUCAGGUCGGGGAAGAAACGAAGAGUCCUCGGGACUGGAGUGAUUUUAAAAUUUGAUGACUUCUUCUGCAACACCAGGAAAACAGCCAUCGCUAUAAAGAAACAUUCCAAGUCGUCUUGUACUACUGGAAUCAGCAAGCUGACUCGUAGGGAACGUUUUUAUACCUCCAUCUGGACUUUCCAUUCCUUUUCCCAUAUCCAAGAAUUUUCCCAACCUUGACUGAGAACUUCUUAAACGACUGCUUUCCCACGUAACUCAUCUAUCCUUUUUGUCAUCACUGACCUUUAAAAACCAACAGGCUUUUACAUUCGCUAUAAAGGGUUCUGACUUGCUGUAUACCCCACACUGCACAAGUGAAGAAGUUACUGCAGCCGGUAUGCUUCUUGCUUCAUGAAAACAGAAAACAUGGGUGCCAAAUCUCUUCAAACACAAAAUGGACAUUAUUGCCACUGCAUCACUCUGCUAUCUUGACCCAUGAAGAACUGAUUCAAAGUGUGGACUGAUUCCCACUGCACACAGACUAAAGCUCUCAGUAACCACUUCAUUUCCCUCUUUAGCUUGCCCAAGUCAUGAUUUUUGUAUCUGUACAUACCUGUGUUUCAAAUCUUAUAGUUUUGUACAUGUGAUUUUUUAUGGUGUGUGAAUUUUUUUUUAUAAUAAAAAAGUGGUCUAAUAAAUUCACAAUGCCUCUAAAGUUACAAUGUACUUCUGGUGUUUUUGGCGGUGCUACCUGAGGUGAAUGAAGACAUUCAACUUAAGGGCAGACGGGGGGAGGGGGUUCAGGUCAGGAUUGAGGAGAGCUUGAUUGCAUCAGAGCUGUUAGGACACUGUGCCAAACUGUAAGAAGCAACAUGUCCACAAACACCAACAUUUAAAUUAAAAAUUGGCCACGGAUAUACAAAUGAGUAUUUCAGAUUAGUUUACUGGUCUUCUGUUUUGAGUGGUUUCCAUUUUCGUUGUAAGAAUUAAUAGUUUAUAAAAUUUGGUAACAGGAACACAUUUGAUACCUGUUUUAAACCAAAUUCCCUUCCAUCAGCUCACACUAGAUAGCAGUAACCAACAUUAUGCCUCCUUGAAGUCUAUGAGUGUAGUUACCAUGACAUCAAACGCCUAUAAGUAUCUCCUCUGUUUGUUUUCAAACAUACUUUUCUUUGACAGCGGUAUGUUAAACUCUGUAGAGCAAAACCUUAUAUAUAUAUAUAUAUAAAAAAAGUUUGUUUAAUCAAAAAUAAUGCGAGGAAUUGCUUCAGCAACACAAGCUUGAACCAAUUUCCCAGUGUUAGAAAAGGCAGAUCAGGGAUAUCGCUGAUGUCAGCACAACGAUAACACCAAUCUACUCAUGUACUUAAUGUGCUGUUACAUAUAAUUGAUUAUCGGUCCCUUGCGAGCUGCUGUCACUGAAUUAUUACAUUUGUAAACGACCCUACCUCGGGCUAAUUCUUUUCAGCAGAUAAUUUGAUUACCAAAACUUGUACAGCCAUUAUGUACAGCCCCUUAAUGAAUAUCUUCCCAACCUCAUUCAGAAGUCAGAUCAUUCAAUCAUCAUUUUCUUUGGCUGUCAAACAGUACCCCUGACUGCACUUAUUUCACCUGUCUUUGUCCUUGAUGUAAUACCAAAUAAUAUUCAGUGACAGUUCCUCUGCAAAAUUACAACAUCCAUCUACAUAUUGCUGUAGAAUUAAAUUAAACCAGGGCUUUUAUUACUUCAAUCUGGGGAAAAGGGGGCUAUAUUUGUAAAUCUAGGUUAUUUUUUCAUCAUUUUCCCAUAUUAUGAAUUAUAAUAACCCAAUUACAAUUGCUCACGCGCAAGCAAUGCUUUGUAAUGGUUCAAUUGGUAUCUACAUACAACACAAUCAUAGGCGUAAUUUACACGGGGGGACACAGGGGACGUGUCCCCCCUCACUUUUUCAUUGUUUCAGAUAGAAUAAUCUUUACGCAUGCAUCAGCUACAGAAACUCUCUGUCCCCCCACCCACUUUUGAAACCAAAGUUACGCCACUGAACACAAUACCAGAAGUAUUAUUAGUAUUAUUAGAAUUGUUGGUCUGUGGGAAAGAAUACAAAUCAAACAAAAAAUACACCCAAUAAAUCAGGUUAAAAGGACGGCUGGAGCCAGUGAAACAUCCCCUAUAAUCCUCUGUAUGGCUCUAAUGUGGUGGAACAUGUAAUUGAUUAGUUGUCAGUUGUGAUGUAUAGUUAGCAAAAUCAUUCCAUUAGUAACUGUACCUUCCGAAAAUAGUGCUUUUCUGGGUAAGAUCGGAUUAUUUCUUCUUCAAUCAGUUACUAAAGCCCCCCACCCCCUAUUUUGAAAGAACAACAGCAAAAAUCUGAUCCAAACAGCUCAGAUACCCAGUUUGUACAUGCAAAGUACAAUGCCAAGUGCAGUCAUAGUGUAAAGAGAUAUAUCAAACACUGAUGUGUUAAUGUAUUAUUUUCAUGUUAACUGGUGGUUUUUUAUGCCUUUUUCUGGAAGAUUUCACAACAGUGAACAGAUUUGUCUCAACUGGAUUUUUUUGGUUAUACAUUAAAGUAAGUGUUUCAAAGAAUCACAGAACACCCAGUAACUUUUAACAUUUACCUUCUUCCUAUGUACUGGGUAUUGUUGCAAAUAUAUAUAUAUAUUUUUAACCCUUUCAGUCAUUACAUUUGCUGAA